CUGGAAUUCUUCAGGGGUAAAGGGUUUUGAGCUUGGAAUUCUUCAGGGGUAAAGUGUCUUGAGCUUGGAAUUCUUCAGGGGUAAAGGGUUUUGAGCUUGGAAUUCUUCAGGGGUAAGGAGGUUUGAUUUGAAAUUUUUCAGAGCUUGGAAUUCUUCAGGGGUAAAGGGUUUUGAGCUUGGAAUUCUUCAGGGGUAAAAGGUUUUGAGCUUGGAAUUCUUCAGGGGUAAAAGGUUUUGAGCUUGGAAUUUUUCAGGGGUAAAGGGUUUUGAGCUUGGAAUUCUUCAGGGGUAAAAGGUUUUGAGCUUGGAAUUCUUCAGGGGUAAAGGGUUUUGAGCUUGGAAUUUUGGAAUACUUCAGGGGUAAAAGGUUUUGAGCUUGGAAUUCUUCAGGGGUAUAACCAUAAAAAACAUGUAUCCUCGACAGGGGGUGUACGGAUAUUAAAUGGAAUAGCCCAAUUU